rnacentral:rRNA from 1 species
AGCCGGGAACUUAAGGAUACUGCCAGUGACAAACUGGAGGAAGGCGGGGACGACGUCAAGUCAUCAUGGCCCUUACGAGUAGGGCUACACACGUGCUACAAUGGCGCAUACAAAGAGAAGCGACCUCGCGAGAGCAAGCGGACCUCACAAAGUGCGUCGUAGUCCGGAUCGCAGUCUGCAACUCGACUGCGUGAAGUCGGAAUCGCUAGUAAUCGCGGAUCAGCACGCCGCGGUGAAUACGUUCCCGGGUCUUGUACACACCGCCCGUCACACCACGAGAGUUUGUAACACCCGAAGUCGGUGAGGUAACCGUAAG